AGUUGUCGUUUAAGGUUUUCUCACACAAAUUAAGAAAACCAUUAAAUGUUAUGUUUUACCCUUUAUUAAGAUAUUUUAUAAUUUUUUCAUUAGUCAAAACAUUAAAACAAUAGGGAUAAAACUGGAAUUUUUACAAAUUAUUUGCAUUGAAAACCUAAAAGACAACUAUUAUGAAACAAAAUUUAAAUUCUAAAACGACAACUAAACUAAAACAGAGGGAGUAUUAAACAACGAAACCCCAUUUCCCAAUAGCAGCGUUGACGUUCCUUAGCUUCAUCGAUCAACUUUGACUAUUACCAUCUGGUUUGGUUUGGAUCGACGUAUGUUCAUCAGAGUUCAAGACUGAUCCACAAACCCAGCACCAUAACCACUUGAUCUUAUGAACUUCUUCAGGAGAAGAACUACGAUAGCGAUUGUGAGCCCAACCGCCGCCCAUGUGAAGAGUCUGUCAUCGACUAGCUUCCAAA
rnacentral:lncRNA from 1 species